rnacentral:rRNA from 1 species
UCCUACGGGAGGCAGCAGUGGGGAAUCUUGCACAAUGGAGGAAACUCUGAUGCAGCGAUGCCGCGUGAGUGAAGAAGGCCUUUGGGUUGUAAAGCUCUUUCGUCGGGGAAGAAAAUGACUGUACCCGAAUAAGAAGGUCCGGCUAACUUCGUGCCAGCAGCCGCGGUAAUACGAAGGGACCUAGCGUAGUUCGGAAUUACUGGGCUUAAAGAGUUCGUAGGUGGUUGAAAAAGUUGGUGGUGAAAUCCCAGAGCUUAACUCUGGAACUGCCAUCAAAACUUUUCAGCUAGAGUAUGAUAGAGGAAAGCAGAAUUUCUAGUGUAGAGGUGAAAUUCGUAGAUAUUAGAAAGAAUACCAACUGCGAAGGCAGCUUUCUGGAUCAUUACUGACACUGAGGAACGAAAGCAUGGGUAGCGAAGAGGAUUAGAUACCCUCGUAGUCCAUGCCGUAAACGAUGUGUGUUAGACGUUGGAAAUUUAUUUUCAGUGUCGCAGGGAAACCGAUAAACACACCGCCUGGGGAGUACGACCGCAAGGUUAAAACUCAAAUGAAUUGACGGGGACCCGCACAAGUAGUGGAGCAUGUGGUUUAAUUCGAAGAUACGCGCAGAACCUUACCAACACUUGACAUGUUCGUCGCGACUCUAAGAGAUUAGAGUUUUCGGUUCGGCCGGACGAAACACAGGUGCUGCAUGGCUGUCGUCAGCUCGUGUCGUGAGAUGUUGGGUUAAGUCCCGCAACGAGCGCAACCCUCACUUUUAGUUGCCAUCAUUAAGUUGGGCACUCUGAAAGAACUGCCAGUGAUAAGCUGGAGGAAGGUGGGGAUGACGUCAAGUCCUCAUGGCCCUUACGUGUUGGGCUACACACGUGCUACAAUGGCAUCUACAACAGGAAGCAAAACGGCAACGUUAAGCAAAUCCCGAAAAGAUGCCUCAGUUCGGAUUGCACUCUGCAACUCGAGUGCAU